CUUGCACCUUUCAAGUGAGUGGCGAACGGGUGAGUAACACGUGGACAACCUGCCUCAAGGCUGGGGAUAACAUUUGGAAACAGAUGCUAAUACCGAAUAAAACUUAGUGUCGCAUGACAAAAAGUUAAAAGGCGCUUCGGCGUCACCUAGAGAUGGAUCCGCGGUGCAUUAGUUAGUUGGUGGGGUAAAGGCCUACCAAGACAAUGAUGCAUAGCCGAGUUGAGAGACUGAUCGGCCACAUUGGGACUGAGACACGGCCCAAACUCCUACGGGAGGCUGCAGUAGGGAAUCUUCCACAAUGGGCGAAAGCCUGAUGGAGCAACGCCGCGUGUGUGAUGAAGGCUUUCGGGUCGUAAAGCACUGUUGUAUGGGAAGAACAGCUAGAAUAGGAAAUGAUUUUAGUUUGACGGUACCAUACCAGAAAGGGACGGCUAAAUACGUGCCAGCAGCCGCGGUAAUACGUAUGUCCCGAGCGUUAUCCGGAUUUAUUGGGCGUAAAGCGAGCGCAGACGGUUUAUUAAGUCUGAUGUGAAAGCCCGGAGCUCAACUCCGGAAUGGCAUUGGAAACUGGUUAACUUGAGUGCAGUAGAGGUAAGUGGAACUCCAUGUGUAGCGGUGGAAUGCGUAGAUAUAUGGAAGAACACCAGUGGCGAAGGCGGCUUACUGGACUGCAACUGACGUUGAGGCUCGAAAGUGUGGGUAGCAAACAGGAUUAGAUACCCUGGUAGUCCACACCGUAAACGAUGAACACUAGGUGUUAGGAGGUUUCCGCCUCUUAGUGCCGAAGCUAACGCAUUAAGUGUUCCGCCUGGGGAGUACGACCGCAAGGUUGAAACUCAAAGGAAUUGA
rnacentral:rRNA from 1 species